GGGGUUAUGCUGCGUCUGGCGCGCGGGGCUCUAUCUCGCGUCGGGAGCAGAAUCCUAGAGCUUUAGCGGAGCGUGGGGUGGGAGAAAGGGUGGUGUUCCGUACCAAUAGCGCCUCAGCGUUCAGGGUUGGCCCUGGGCGGUACCCUCACUCGUCUGGACCCGGGUGCUGCUUCCGGCUGCGCUAGGAGGUCGCGCAGGCAGGAGGCCUCGGUCGGAAGGGAGGGAACGGCAGCAUCCAGCAUGUGGGACCUUAGUUCCCCAACCAGGGAUCGAACCUGCACCCCCUGCAUUGGAAGGCGGAGUCUUAACAUUGGACAACCAGGGAAAUCCCCGUGAUAGCCUCUUUUUCUCCCUGAUACUGGGCUUCCCUGGUGGCGCAGUCGUUAAGAAUCCGCCUGCCAAUGCAGGGGACACGGGUUCGAGCCCUGGUCCGGGAGGAUCCCACGUGCCGCAGAGCAACUAAGCCCGUGCUCCACAACUACUGAGCCCACGUGCCUAGAGCCCGCGAGCCACAACUACUGAGCCCACGCGCUGCAUCUACUGAAGCCCACGUGCUCUAGAGCCUGUGCUUGGCAACAAGAGAAGCCUGCGCACCGCAACGAAGAGUAGCCCCCGCUCGCCUCAACUAGAGAAAACCCACGCGCAGCAAUGAGGACCCAAUGCAGCCAAAAAUAAUAAAUAAAUAAAAAUAAAUAAAUUUAUUAAAAAAAUAAAAAAUAAAUAAAAUUUGCUGAGACUAAUUUUUUGGCCUAACAUAUGGUCUUAGUUGGUGUUCCAUGUGCACUUGAAAAUAAUACGUAUCCUUCAGCUGUUGGUGUAGUGUCCUAUAUAUGUCAG